CGGGACGGGUGAGUAAUGUCUGGGAAACUGCCUGAUGGAGGGGGGUAACUACUGGAAACGGUAGCUAAUACCGCAUAACGUCGCAAGACCAAAGAGGGGGACCGUUCGGGCCUCUUGCCAUCGGAUGUGCCCAGAUGGGAUUAGCUAGUAGGUGGGGUAACGGCUCACCUAGGCGACGAUCCCUAGCUGGUCUGAGAGGAUGCCAGCCACACUGGAACUGAGACACGGUCCAG
rnacentral:rRNA from 1 species